GGACGGGUGAGUAAUACAUGGGAAUCUGCCUGGUAGUGGGGGACAACAGUUGGAAACGACUGCUAAUACCGCAUACGUCCUACGGGAGAAAGCAGGGGACCUUCGGGCCUUGCGCUAUUAGAUGAGCCCAAGUCGGAUUAGCUAGUUGGUAGGGUAAAGGCCUACCAAGGCGACGAUCCGUAGCUGGUCUGAGAGGAUGAUCAGCCACACUGGAACUGAGACACGGUCCAGACUCC
rnacentral:rRNA from 1 species